rnacentral:rRNA from 1 species
AACACAUGCAAGUCGAGCGGAAACGACACUAACAAUCCUUCGGGUGCGUUAAUGGGCGUCGAGCGGCGGACGGGUGAGUAAUGCCUAGGAAAUUGCCUUGAUGUGGGGGAUAACCAUUGGAAACGAUGGCUAAUACCGCAUGAUGCCUACGGGCCAAAGAGGGGGACCUUCGGGCCUCUCGCGUCAAGAUAUGCCUAGGUGGGAUUAGCUAGUUGGUGAGGUAAUGGCUCACCAAGGCGACGAUCCCUAGCUGGUCUGAGAGGAUGAUCAGCCACACUGGAACUGAGACACGGUCCAGACUCCUACGGGAGGCAGCAGUGGGGAAUAUUGCACAAUGGGCGAAAGCCUGAUGCAGCCAUGCCGCGUGUAUGAAGAAGGCCUUCGGGUUGUAAAGUACUUUCAGUUGUGAGGAAGGGUGUGUAGUUAAUAGCUGCGCAUCUUGACGUUAGCAACAGAAGAAGCACCGGCUAACUCCGUGCCAGCAGCCGCGGUAAUACGGAGGGUGCGAGCGUUAAUCGGAAUUACUGGGCGUAAAGCGCAUGCAGGUGGUUCAUUAAGUCAGAUGUGAAAGCCCGGGGCUCAACCUCGGAACUGCAUUUGAAACUGGUGAACUAGAGUACUGUAGAGGGGGGUAGAAUUUCAGGUGUAGCGGUGAAAUGCGUAGAGAUCUGAAGGAAUACCAGUGGCGAAGGCGGCCCCCUGGACAGAUACUGACACUCAGAUGCGAAAGCGUGGGGAGCAAACAGGAUUAGAU